UGGGGAAUUUUGGACAAUGGGGGAAACCCUGAACCAGCCAUCCCGCGUGUGCGAUGAAGGCCUUCGGGUUGUAAAGCACUUUUGGCAGGAAAGAAACGUCAUGGGUUAAUACCCCGUGAAACUGACGGUACCUGCAGAAUAAGCACCGGCUAACUACGUGCCAGCAGCCGCGGUAAUACGUAGGGUGCAAGCGUUAAUCGGAAUUACUGGGCGUAAAGCGUGCGCAGGCGGUUCGGAAAGAAAGAUGUGAAAUCCCAGAGCUCAACUUUGGAACUGCAUUUUUAACUACCGGGCUAGAGUGUGUCAGAGGGAGGUGGAAUUCCGCGUGUAGCAGUGAAAUGCGUAGAUAUGCGGAGGAACACCGAUGGCGAAGGCAGCCUCCUGGGAUAACACUGACGCUCAUGCACGAAAGCGUGGGGAGCAAACAGG
rnacentral:rRNA from 1 species